AGAUACGACGAGCUGUUCGACACUAUCCAAAAUUGGAGGGAGCGUAACAGAUUGUUUGUCGUGAAACCAACGUCGCUGGUUGAGGGAAACGCAUGCAAACAUGAAGUGAUUGAAAUUGUAUAGGAAGAAGUUUGCCGGAACAUUCGUAAGUAUACGCACGUAUACGUAGAGCACAAUUGUGGCCCUUUUAACAAAUGUAAUUAGAAUAAGAA